CAGUCGCCGCGGUAAUACAGAGGGUGCGAGCGUUACUCGGAAUUACUGGGCGUAAAGCGUGCGUAGGUGGUUGUUUAAGUCUGUUGUGAAAGCCCUGGGCUCAACCUGGGAAUUGCAGUGGAUACUGGGCAACUAGAGUGUGGUAGAGGGUAGUGGAAUUCCCGGUGUAGCAGUGAAAUGCGUAGAGAUCGGAAGGAACAUCCAUGGCGAAGGCAGCUACCUGGACCAACACUGACACUGAGGCACGAAAGCGUGGGGAGCAAACAGGAUUAGAUACCCCAGUAGUCCCUGUCUCUUAUAC
rnacentral:rRNA from 1 species